AUUGAACGCUGGCGGCAUGCCUUACACAUGCAAGUCGAACGGUAACAGGGAGCUUGCUCCGCUGACGAGUGGCGAACGGGUGAGUAAUAUAUCGGAACGUGCCCUAGAGUGGGGGAUAACUAGUCGAAAGAUUAGCUAAUACCGCAUACGAUCUAAGGAUGAAAGUGGGGGAUCGCAAGACCUCAUGCUCGUGGAGCGGCCGAUAUCUGAUUAGCUAGUUGGUAGGGUAAAGCCUACCAAGGCAUCGAUCAGUAGCUGGUCUGAGAGGACGACCAGCCACACUGGGACUGAGACACGGCCCAGACUCCUACGGGAGGCAGCAGUGGGGAAUUUUGGACAAUGGGCGCAAGCCUGAUCCAGCAAUGCCGCGUGAGUGAAGAAGGCCUCGGUUGUAAGUACUCUUUGUUCUAGGGAAGAAACGGGUUAA
rnacentral:rRNA from 1 species